rnacentral:antisense_RNA from 1 species
GGGCUGGGAGGGAAGGUCCCGGCGGCCGGCCGGCCUCGGGGCUGUUUUUGUCCGCUUUCCGGGGGUCGUGAGGGCCAGUGGCCCGGCAACAGUGGCUUCAGUCACCACAGGACAACACAAGAUACACAGCCCAUGGCAUAUCCAGUAACCAGGAAAACAAGCAUUCUCACGACCCAGCUGAACUCCUUCUAACCAUCAACCUGAAAUUCCAGCUUUAUCAAGACUCAUAAAGUAAUUGUGCAUGCUUCUUGCUCAAUCCCUACCAGGAAACCUGUAUCUACCAGGAGUUGUCAUAGAAUAAGAAGUUCAAAAGCUGGAAGAAAUCUUCAGGGUCAUAAUUUCAGCCUCCUGCUUCCAGACAGAACUAUUUCUCCACCACUGAAAUGCAUAUCGAUUUUGAAAAAAUCUCCAGACAUAACCUUUCUUAAGUGUUUGGUUUCAGGAGUCCUGGUAGAGUAUAUAAAAAUGAUGACAUUCUCUGCUGUAUAUUUGAAAAAAUUUUUUAAACUUCUGAAAAACCGAUUGUAUUCUUUUUGUUCUGAUGAAAAGAUGUAAAUUCAGAAGAAAACAAUAAGCAAAUGAAAUAAACUCAGGAUGAGGAAAAUAAUCUAAAAAUAGUUAUUAAAAUUGAAAUUUCCUCCUAUGAAAAUUUGGAUUUCUGAUACUUAAAAAUAUAUGUCUACAUUAUGAAUACAACCAGUAGAAACAUCAUGUGUUAUAAAGACAAGAACUAGCAGAUAUCACAGGAAAGUAAAAGGUUUGAAUUGCUGAAGUGAU